rnacentral:snRNA from 1 species
AUCGUUUUUUUGAUGUAAAAUUCGUGUUUCAGUCGUCAAAUACAAAAAAAAAAAAAAAGAUCAAGUGUAGUAUCUGUUCUUCUCAGUUUAAUACCUGGGACGGAAACGAUUCGUUUCCUCUAUGUAUUAAUCGGAUUUUUGAACUUGGAGUAUGGUGCUGGAGCUUGCUCCACCCUGCUCACGGGUUGUCCUGGUAUUGCAGUACCUCCAGGUUCGGCUCACGUUUC